GUCCAAACAAGGUAAAUUCUCUGUUUUCUUCUUCUUCAUGAUUACUUUGUGAUUGUUUCCUUUUCCAUAUUUGUUGUUUGGCUCUAGUUACAAAAACCCAAUCGAUUCUACUCUAUUUUCUAUCUAGGGUUCAUCUUGCACCUGAUUCUUUCUUGCUUGACCUUAUUUUGCUUCUUAGUGUGUUUCAUAUUUUGUUCAUUGUAUGCUUGACUAAAAUUAACUCCUGGGGUUUAGUACGAUCUGUUUAUUUAAAAACCUAUUUUGUUGAGUUUGUCUUAGGGUU
rnacentral:misc_RNA from 1 species